GAUGAACGCUGGCGGCGUGCCUAAUACAUGCAAGUCGAGCGAACAGACGAGGAGCUUGCUCCUUCGACGUUAGCGGCGGACGGGUGAGUAACACGUACGUAACCUACCUAUAAGCCUGGGAUAACUUCGGGCAACCGGAGCUAAUACCGGCUAAUAUUUCGAACCGCAUGGUUCGAUAGUGAAAGAUGACUUUGCUAUCACUUAUCGAUGGACCUGCGACGUAUUAGGUAGUUGGCAAGGCAACGGCUUACCAAGGCAACGAUACGUAUCCGACCAGAGAGGGGGAUGGAGCACACUGGAACUGGGACACGGUCAAUACUCCUAAGGAAGGCAGCGGAACGGAAGCUUCGGCAAGGGGCGAAAGCCUUACGGAGGAUGGCGGAGUAGGACGUGAAGGUCUACGGAUCGUGAAACUCGUUUAUUAGGGAAGAAGAAACGUGUAAGUAACUGAUCACGUCGUGACGGUACCGAAGCAGAAAGCCACGGCUAACUACGUG
rnacentral:rRNA from 1 species